rnacentral:rRNA from 1 species
GACAGAGGCCCCAAGCGUUAGGCGGAAUCACUGGGCUUAAAGCGUGUGUAGGCGGAUGCCUAAGUACCUUGUGAAAUCCCACGGCUCAACCGUGGAACUGCUGGGUAUACUGGGUGUCUUGGGCCAUUCAGGGGCGACUGGAACAAGCGGUGGAGCGGUGAAAUGCGUAGAUAACGCUUGGAACGCCGAAGGUGAAAACAGGUCGCUGGGGAUGUGCCGACGCUGAGACACGAAAGCCAGGGGAGCAAACGGG